GGUGAGGGCCAGUGGCCGGGACACUGAGAGUCAUCAUGGAAGGAGCUUUGGGCUCCAGUCAGAACCCUGGAUUCUCUUGCUGGCUUGGCACUUUCUAGCGUGGGCCUCAGUUCUCCCACGGAUAAAAUGGGAUGGUGCCUGCCCUGCCUCCCUCCCACAGUGUGCCUGAGGCCCCGCAGAAGCCAUGGUCAUGCAGGUGUCUCUAGAGCCCCUCAUGCGGAGGCGUGGAAGAUGCUACUGAUGGGAGGAUUCAGCAUUCAUCCCUGGACGAUUCAUCCCUGUCCACAGGGCUGCUGGAAUGCUCUGGUGCCCCCACUCACAGGAGAAGCUCUGAGGAGCUGCAGCGCCCCGACAGGCAGGGGACUCCGUGGCCUCAUGUCGUGCCAAGGCUUGGCCAGAAGGGAUAACCCAAUGGAAAAUAUUCAGAGCCCAGUGACCGGCGGGUGGAGGGAAUAAAUAACACCAGAUAGAUCAGGAACUUCAGGUAAAGUCCUUCAGGUAAAUUCACCCACUCUCCAUAACAGCUGAGGUUUUAUUAUCCCACCUCUGUUACAGACGGGGUGAGAACAUUUCUCAUAAAGUUCUUGUGAGGGCUGCAGAAGGCAGGCAUUACCUAGGGCUGGAAUAUAGUGUGAGCGCCGAGGAGACUAGCCCUUGUCAUCAAGGGGGACGUUGUCCUACGGCUCUGCUUGGUUAUCACAUCACCCUGCUUUGACUUUCCCCUUGGCCAGGCUCUGAAGAGCCAUCUCCUGACCUUUCCAGACAGAGGGCUGAGAUCCUUGGGUGGCCCUCACUAUGACCCAGCACUGCUCUCCCCAAAGACAGACCGUGAGAGUCCCCUGCCCCCUGGACUCACUGGGGAGCCCGCCCAGGUAGAGGCACCUGGCUCAGGCAUCCUGCAGUUUCCUCUUUCUGAGAACUUCGACCACAGGCUUGCCCGCCCCAGAGGGAGCUGCUCCCCAGGAAUGGGCCUUUGGGAAGGUUAACCUUUACGGUAAACAGACUCGUGACUUUCUGCUACAAGAAAUGGUGGAGUUUGGGUAAAAUUUCUUUCCUGAAUAUGGUCAUGUUCCUGUUGGUGUUCUAAGGUUAGAACCCAAAUAUGUGGAAAUUUUGGAUGAAUUUUAAUGUGAUUUGUCCGCAAAGACCUAGAUUUUAGAAUAUUCAGCUUCAUACACUUAAACAAAGACUUUUGGCUCUAGUGAGGGUGGAUUGGCCACCCAUUUCUUUAUCAGCCUUAGGAGAGGUUUACAAGCUUCUAGAACUCCUUGAAUUUUACAGCUCUACUAUCUUCCUUCCCUUCCUGCUUCAGCUUCCUGUCCAGCUGGGGACCGCUGAUCUUAGUUUUAUAUCUUCUCUCUCGGU